GAUGAACGCUGGCGGCGUGCCUAAUACAUGCAAGUCGAGCGAACAGACGAGGAGCUUGCUCCUCUGACGUUAGCGGCGGACGGGUGAGUAACACGUGGAUAACCUACCUAUAAGACUGGGAUAACUUCGGGAAACCGGAGCUAAUACCGGAUAAUAUAUUGAACCGCAUGGUUCAAUAGUGAAAGACGGUUUUGCUGUCACUUAUAGAUGGAUCCGCGCCGCACUAGCUAGUUGGUAAGGUAACGGCUUCCAAGGCAACGAUGCGUAGCCGACCUGAGAGGGUGAUCGGCCACACUGGAACUGAGACACGGUCCAGACUCCUACGGGAGGCAGCAGUAGGGAAUCUUCCGCAAUGGGCGAAAGCCUGACGGAGCAACGCCGCGUGAGUGAUGAAGGUCUUCGGAUCGUAAAACUCUGUUAUUAGGGAAGAACAAAUGUGUAAGUAACUAUGCACGUCUUGACGGUACCUAAUCAGAAAGCCACGGCUAACUACGUG
rnacentral:rRNA from 1 species